rnacentral:rRNA from 1 species
UACAGAGGGUGCAAGCGUUGUUCGGAAUUAUUGGGCGUAAAGCGCGUGUAGGCGGCUUUGCAAGUCGGGUGUGAAAGCCCUCAGCUCAACUGAGGAAGUGCGCCCGAAAACUGCAGAGCUUGAGUGCCGGAGAGGGUGGGCGGAAUUCCCCAAAGUAGAGGUGAAAUUCGUAAGAUAUGGGGAGGAACACCGGUGGGCGAA